rnacentral:lncRNA from 1 species
CGACAGUUCCAUUUACUAGAUAUCUGAAAAUUUUGGUUUAGUUUGGUUCGGUUCUCUUUAGAACUGAACCGAACCAACCCGUGCCCACCCCCAGACAGGCCUACUUCGAGACUCUAAAGAAGGAUCGAUAGAUGUUAGAGGAUCUCAAGUCCUUGGUAUAUGAUAUAGAUGAUAUUCUUGGGGAUGACAUCCUCAACCUUGCAUGUGCAAAAGGCCUCAAGGGUAUGAUGUUUAAUCUUCUGUCAAUUUAUUUAUUUGCUCGAUCAUAUGCUUUUGCCUAAUACUUGAAUUUUGUGCAGAUAUGUCUUUUGAUCCAUCAGCUCUUCGUCAAGUGGUGAGCUUGAAAUCUGAGGAGCCCUAAGUUAAGGCUCCAGGUCAGAAGAAGGGGAAGAAAAGGUCCUAGGUAUACACAACCGAUGUUCCCACGAGGGCUAGGUGAAUCGUCGAGUUCAAGGCCUCGAGCUCCAAGCCCCCUUUCUCCACGACAGCAGGAGGCUUUUUCCCAGCCAAGUCCUAGGCCUUCGUAGCCACUUCCUCCUCAAGUUACUCCCGAGUUUGUUGAUCUCGAGGAUGAUUCCAUUCUUCCUAUAGCCUUGAUCAAUGCCAUCUUGUCCCUAGCAUCGUCGCGAAGUACAGAGGUGACGUGGGGUUCGACGAGGGCAUGAAGGCCUCGAACUCCUUACUUUGAAGGUAAGUACUGACUUCCUUAUGCCACAAUUUGUUAAAGUAUUUUUCUCGCUCUAAUGCACGUUGUCUUGUGCUAUUUAGAAACUCAACGUUGCUUGAGGACUAUCGCUGCAAGGGAUGGACGAAUCCCACAAGGUGGCAAGGUUGGUCGAGGCUAUGUAGCCUAGAGAUAAGAAGCUCGCUAACAUCGAGACUGCUAGAGCUCAGCUUCAGAAGGAGCGUGAGGAUGUGAGAAACGAGCUAAAGAGGGCUCGGGAUGAAGUCGGUGCUGCCAAGGACGAAGCAGAAGAGCUAAAACUCAAGCUUGAGCAGCUCAAUAUGGAUUUUGGGGCUAAGGUUGAGGAGGCCCAGGCUUUUGCCAUCGAGGACUUCGAAAAGUCAGAGGAGUUGGACAGGUUGAAGGGCGAGUAUAUAUUAGGCUCGAACAUUCAUGCCCUUAAAGAAGCUCGAGCCUUUCUCAGAACGAAAAUGCCUGAGGUAGCCCCUGAGGAGCUCAAGAUGAUCCCCGAUAUAGCUGAAACCCUUAAGCUGUCUGACUCUGACAACACAGUCGAUGGAGCUACCGACGAUGAAGAUACGUUCGAGGAGGGUGAUGCUGCUCCCGAGGAUGAAGAGAAAGAAUAGGAAAUCACAACCCCUUACCCCUGUCAUAUUUUGAGCAUGAAUGCUAUGUACAUUGCCCGACCACGAAUUUAUCUCGAGGAUUUAGUCAUGUAAAAUGACAAUUGUAAUUAACUCACUAAGCUCGACAUUACAUAGGGGCCAAAACUUAUAUUGAUGACCC